rnacentral:tRNA from 1 species
CUGAGAUAGUUUACCCCACCCAAGACAUCUGAUUUCGACUCAGAAGACCUUUAAAUUAAAGUCUCAGA